AAAAUAUGAGCAUAUUGCCUCCAGUUGAUGCAGUCGAUGGUUUUCCUCCCAGUGCCAUCGUAUCAGCUGUUCCCCUCUGGAGGUUAUUGACCUUCACACCUUAAAGGGCCCUGGUUUUCCAG
rnacentral:sRNA from 14 species